CAUAGCCAGGCCCCGCGGCCUCUAUAUAUAGAGAAACACAAACAGCUAUGACCAGCAGUCUAGCCACUCGCCAGAUCUCAUAAGAAUAUUAGGGUUUUUGUGGUGCUCGUGCUUCUGCUGCGCCAUCCCUCCCCUACUUUGCUAUUCGUCCUGUUUUUUAUGUUUACAUUCAAAUCAAUAUCUUGAGAUCAGGUAUCUGCUAUGCCUAAUAUUGCAAUUCCUUGAUUUAAUUUUCCCAGUGAAUCAAGGGAUCUAUCGUUAGGCCAUAUUAAAGGCUGUGUAUAUACCAAUAUAUAUAUAUAUAUAUAUGCGUCUUCCUUUAGCUCCGAUUGUUCUUAUUUUACAGAUAGAGAUAUCGGUGACAUGGUAGAUACAUAUAUGAUGGUCACUUCCAGUUUGUUGUAAAUUUAAUCUCCCUUGGCUUUACUUUGGGAUUAUCUUGUAUUUUUCAUAGAAGCUUUCGUUUUGCAACGUUAUUUGCAAUGUUAUUGUUAAGGGCCCGGGAUGAUUGGGAUGAUGAAAUGAAUCAGACGGAUUCCCACUGAUUACUUGGUCGCAAGUAAUAUGACGUCGCAACCAGCUACUUCUGACUGUCAUCAGGUCCUCCUUUUCUUUAUCUUUCAACAGUUUCUAUUUUCGCAUUUUUUGUGCUUCGAUUUAUGUUUGAUUUCUUUCAUAAGAAGAACAAAGGGGAGAAGGCCGGUGAUGUGAGAAAAAUAUUUGCUACUCUUGAUUUGAUUCUUUAUUGGAUCCAGCUGAUGAUUUCUAUCCACCAAGAUCUCUGAGGCCUUUUAUUUCUCUUAUAUCCUUUUCUUGUUUCAUUGUGUUUUUUUGGAGUGGACGAUCGACGAAUAUCGGUGGGAGCGAUGCAAUAAAGUUGGAUAACAGUGUAAUUUACGUUUUUAAUGCCAAGAAAACCAAGAAGAAAUCGUAGUUUAUGGGGCACUUUUCUUCGUCCAUGGUUCUUCAAUUCAUGAGAAUCGAGAUGACGGCGGAAAUAGAAGAAGUUCACCAUAUCUUUUAUGAGAAUAGUAAAUUUAAUGCUGUCAUGAAAUUUUUAAAUGUCUUUGAUUUGAUAAUUUGCUCUUCCAAAACAAGUAUUUUACAUUGUGUUGCAUUGAUUUUUCGUUUGUUUAAUGAAACCUUUUUUUUUAUUUUUUAUUUUUCUAAACUUUGUCCUUAACAAGGCCCAAAUGAAAGGGGUUUUGAUUCUUAGCUGUAUAGAGGUUGCGAGAUUUUAAGAUUCAAUUUGAUUUUCAUUACUGCUGAGCUUUUUCCAACUUAAAACCUGGAAAGUUAUUCUAUCAAUAUUUUUUAACAUUAAGGUAAAAUCUCUAAACUUUUCUAUGUGGAUCAAAUAUAUUAUGGUUUUUUGUUUUUAUCAAUUGUGUAAUAAAAUUUUUAAUUUCGUAUUAGUUGGAUAAUGCUAAUGUGGAAUUGGACAUGGAGUAAAGAUGGGAAAUGGGCCGGCCGGCCUGCCUCAUAGCUCGGCUCAACCUGAUUCGAUUUGUUAUUGUAGCAAAUGGGCUGGAUUGACCCGCCUAGUAAAAUGAGGUCUGUGUUGGGCUAGCAAUAUGUGGCUCGUAGCCCGGCUCAGCCCAUCAAAAUGGCCUGCGGGCUGGCUCAUCAAUUGGUCCGCUAAAAUAGCUUCGGUUUAUUAAAAUAUAAAAAAAUAUUUAAAAAAUUAUGUUUAUAUUUAAUAAUUAUUAUAAAUAUAAUAAUUAAAAAUUAUGUUUCUUGUAAACAUAAUUUUAUUGUAAUGUUUAUUAUGUUUGUAAGCAUAAUUUGAGUAUAAUUUUUGUAAACAUAAUGUUUAUUGUAAUCAUCAUAAUUUUAUAAACAUUAAAAUUAUAAGGAAACAUUAAUAAGCAUAUUUUAAAAAAUAUUAGUUACAUUUGAGAAAAAAUAAAAAAUAUAUUUAAAAAAAUGUAUAUAAAAAAAUUAAAAAUAAAUGGUUCAUGAGUCGGUCUUGCAUAGGGGACCCAUAGACUGGCUCGGUCUAUUUUGGUUCAUUUAUUAAGGGCCACUGUGUCGGGUCUAAGUUUUCAUUUCCUUGACUCUGUUAGGCUUGUCUUUAUCGUGGGUUAAAUUCGGCUUGGUCUACUAAAUGGGUGGGUCAAGCGGGAUGCAGGCCAGGCUGAUCCGCCAAUUACCCAUCUCUACAUGGAGACCAAAAGGGGGAGGAUUGACACCUUAGAUAUUUUUUGGAGGGAAAGCAUAAUUUCGCAAAUCAAAACGGUAAUUUGAGAGGUAGGAGUGGAGAGAAGUUAGGUGGCGGACUUCCCCCUCUGCUAGAGGCUUUAUGGUUCAUAUCUCUCCUCUGACGCUAACCUCCAGCUCGUUCCGUGUCUUUGCCAUCUCUACCUUACUCGCAUCCAUCUGUUGAAUUUUGCCACCACUCCCUCUGUUCUUAUCUCUUUCUCUACCCGUUGAGACCGAGGCUUGUUCUCGUAACAAUUCCCGAUUUAUCUCAGCUCUCUCUACCAACACGCUGCCAAACAACCCAAUAUCCCAGCAGCAAAUCGAAGUGCUCAAUUGAACGGCGUCCCUUCGCUUCUGCUCAGCGCCCAGACUGCUAUGAAAUCCACGAAAUGUCCCUACACUGGAGUAGCGCUCGAUGGCUACCACAAGAUCUCAAAUGCUAUUUUGGUCCAAAACCCGAAGAGAUAAUUGGUGGGUCAUCAUGGUGAUCAGGGAACAAUCCAGUGCCUAGAGGUGGGGCUAUGGAGUUUGGAUCUCGAUCACGUGCCUAGAGGCGGGUCCAAGCCUAAACACGGGGCUGACACGAUGACUAGCGAAGGAAAUGGUGAUAGGGGAAGAUUCUUGUUAUUCUUUUCACUUGUUUGCUUAUGCACAAACUGUUUCCUUUCUUGAAUUACUCACUGAGAUGUUUCAUUUCUUGCUUAUACAUGCAGGUAUUUUCUUUUUUGAAUCAUCUCACUUAGAUGUAACUAUAUAACUUGGGUGUUUCAUAUCUCUGGAACAUUGAACUCUGGAACAUUCAAUGUUCCAGGUAUGUCAGAUAUGACAGGUGCCGCAGGUUCUUGUUUUGGUAAGGGCAAGGAGGUGGUGCUAUACUAACUUUGAAGUUUUGGAUCUUUAGUUUACGAAAUCGAUGUUUAUACUUGUAACCCAAGUGUAAUACUUGUAUUCUUAAUAUUGUAUUGUAAAUAAUAAUUAAGAUACUUAAGGA